AUAGAAUAGCGAUAUAUUUCAUAAAUGAUUAUGGAACAAUAUUUAAUUGAGUUCUAGUACACUAUUAAUUAGUUAGGCAUACAUGUAAGUGACACUUAAAUAUGGAUUAAGUUACAUAAACCUAUAUAUAAUAUGAUCUAGAAAUGUAAACAUAAUAUAUAGGUGAUAGUAUGUGUUCAUGGUAUAUUAUGAUAUACAUAACAGCGUAGUAAUAGUAUAUGGUAUCAAGCUACCACGUCAAUAUAUGCCUUGAGAAAUGUAUGGGAUUAGUUGGACUUAUUCCAACCAAUAGUUAGACACAUGGAGCAUACAUCAAAAUUUCAAAAUUUAAAAGCUUGGAUUGCAGAAAAUAGGAGGGAAUAUUAUUGUUGAGCUAAUAUAUAGCAAUAGUUACGUGACAUGGAUGUAUAUCCGAGAUAGUGGUGGAAGGUGAUUCAAAAUCUAAAGAUUUAUGCUAAGAGUAUAUACACGUGGGAAGCAUGUAUGAGGUGAUUAAUUACUUCUUCUUCCCAUUAUUUUGUUGAUUGAUAAUGUAGAAUUAUGUAGUUAAAUAAUAAAGAGAGUAAACAAAUAGAUAGUGAUAUGUAUAUAUAUGUAUAUACUUGAACGUGGGCAUGAAAUGAUUGAAGGUGCAAACUUUAAAUUUAAAAAUUUGUUAGCAAUAGUUGUGAUUUGACCGAGUAUAGAGCUAUAGGUGGGUUACUCAAUUUUACAAAAAAAAAAAAACAAACAUAAUUACAUUUAAAAUAUGACGUAGGUAGUGGGUGUAGAGGCUUAUAAAUAGGGAAUCUCAAUCUUUACAUUUUUUUCAUUCACUCGUAAGCCAAAGAAACAUCUCUCCCCAUAGUCUCUUGCCCACAACUUAGCCACACUUUCAAGUAUUUUUCUUGCUUCAUCUUCUUUGACCAUACACUACCUUAGCCCUAAUACUACUAUCACCACUACCACCAUUAUUCCACUUUUCAUUUAAUCAUCACAUAAGUUUUCUAAACACUUUCCACAAGCUCCCAAAAUUACUGAAGCUCACACACUCUCUAUUCUUAAAUAAUUAUGUUUUCUUUCUAGGACUCUCUCUAUCCUGGCUAUUAUAAUCUCCAUACAAUCAUUAUCCACACUACCCCACACAAAUACACACACUACUAUUAUUUACUCAUAUCAUCCACAAGCCACGGUUCCACCAUACAUCACUAUAGUUUCUACAAAUUACCAUCAUCUUAUUUUCCAUUUCAAGAUCAUCUCAUGUUAUAGGUGUGUCUUACACUAGGCUUGGGCUUAAGAAUUCUUCAUAAUCAUGAAUAGGAUUCUCCUUUGAAGUUACGGUAUUUCAUAAGACAAUUAUUAUUUCUCAAGGAUCACUCUCAUUGCAAUCAAGGCUAGGACUCCACAUUCGAGAUUAAGGUUCUAAAACUUAGAAAGCCGGUGGCAAGUGAGACCUUGGAGGCUUGUGUGUGUACUCGCUGAGGACCAUAUAACUGAGGGUGGUCUAGGGCACGCUCCAUUUAUUUUAUUUAGUGUUAUUAAAUUAAUGUCGCAGUUAUUUUUAUUUAUUAAUUAUUAUGUCUUUUAAGUCCAAACUGAGCUCAAAUAUGAAAUAUUUUAUGUUUAUAAAUAAAAGCGACAUUAUAGAUUUUCCGCAUUUUAACGCUUGUAACUAAAUUAGUAAUUUAUGAAAAGUACGGGCG